GACGAACGCUGGCGGCGUGCCUAAUACAUGCAAGUCGAACGCUUCUUUCCUCCCGAGUGCUUGCACUCAAUUGGAAAGAGGAGUGGCGGACGGGUGAGUAACACGUGGGUAACCUACCCAUCAGAGGGGGAUAACACUUGGAAACAGGUGCUAAUACCGCAUAACAGUUUAUGCCGCAUGGCAUAAGAGUGAAAGGCGCUUUCGGGCGUCGCUGAUGGAUGGACCCGCGGUACAUUAGCUAGUUGGUGAGGUAACGGCUCACCAAGGCCACGAUGCAUAGCCGACCUGAGAGGGUGAUCGGCCACACUGGGACUGAGACACGGCCCAGACUCCUACGGGAGGCAGCAGUAGGGAAUCUUCGGCAAUGGACGAAAGUCUGACCGAGCAACGCCGCGUGAGUGAAGAAGGUUUUCGGAUCGUAAAACUCUGUUGUUAGAGAAGAACAAGGACGUUAGUAACUGAACGUCCCCUGACGGUAUCUAACCAGAAAGACACGGGUAACUACGUG
rnacentral:rRNA from 1 species